rnacentral:rRNA from 1 species
ACAUGCCUACAACAUAGUGUUAAUGCACCAGAUCCCAUUAGAACUGCAUAGUUAAGUGUGCUUAGGCUGGAGUAGUACUAGGAUGGGUGACCGCCCAGGAAGUACUAGUGUUUUACAUGCC